rnacentral:RNase_P_RNA from 2 species
AGAGGGAAGCUCAUCGAUGGAGCUACAAACUGAGUGCUGCUCGUCACUCUAUCUCCAUGUCCCCUAGGAAGGUCUGAGACUGGGGCCAUCUAGCAUCCCUAACAGGGACCUCCUUGAGCCUCCUUGAGUUCCCAGAGAACAGGGCUCCGUGAGAGGGCAGACUGGGCGGGAGAUGCCAAAAUGGACCCCCAUGGGAAUGGUGAAGCAGUGCAGGCAUCAAGCCCAAGCAAAUAAUCCUGGUGACAAAAGAAAGAAGGGGCAGGUGGUGGUGCACUCACAAUUGAGUACACAUGUUAAGAUACACAAGGACUUGGUUUCAAGCUCU